rnacentral:rRNA from 1 species
UAAUUUAAAGUCUAACCUGCCCUAUGAGUUAUUUAAAUGGCCGCGGUAUUUUAACCGUGCAAAGGUAGCAUAAUAAUUAGUUUUUUAAUUGAGAACUGGUAUGAAUGGUUGGACGAAAAAAAUUCUGUCUCAAUUUAAUUUAAAUUAGAAUUUUAUUUUUAAGUAAAAAAGCUUAAAUAAAUUUAGAAGACGAGAAGACCCUAUAGAGUUUUAUAUUAAUAAUUUUAUUUAAAAAUAUUAAGUAUUUUAUUUAAUUAAAAUAUAUUAAUAUUUAAUUGGGGUGAUUGAAAAAUUAAAUAAACUUUUUUUAAUUAAAUAACAUUUAUAUAUGAGUUAAUGAUCCAUUAUUAUAUGAUUAUAAGAUUAAAUUACCUUAGGGAUAACAGCGUUAUUUUUUUUGAGAGUUCUUAUCGAAAAAAAAGUUUGCGACCUCGAUGUUGGAUUAAAAUUAACUUAUGGUGUAGAAGCUAUUAAGGUUAGGUC